rnacentral:rRNA from 1 species
AUAUUGCACAAUGGUCGCAAGCCUGAUGCAGCCAUGCCGCGUGUAUGAAGAAGGCCUUCGGGUCGUAAAGUACUUUCAGCGGGGAGGAAGGCAGUGAGGUUAAUAACCUUACUGAUUGACGUUACCGGCAGAAGAAGCACCGGCUAACUCCGUGCCAGCAGCCGCGGUAAUACGGAGGGUGCAAGCGUUAAUCGGAAUUACUGGGCGUAAAGCGCACGCAGGCGGUCUGUUAAGUCAGAUGUGAAAUCCCCGGGCUUAACCUGGGAACUGCAUUUGAAACUGGCAGGCUUGAGUCUCGUAGAGGGGGGUAGAAUUCCAGGUGUAGCGGUGAAAUGCGUAGAGAUCUGGAGGAAUACCGGUGGCGAAGGCGGCCCCCUGGACGAAGACUGACGCUCAGGUGCGAAAGCGUGGGGAGCGAACAG